CCCAAUCCUAAUACUGGGAGGUAGUGACAAUAAAUAACAAUGCUGGAGUUUAUACUUUGGUAAUUGGAAUGAGAACAAUUUAAACCCCUUAACGAGUAACCAUCAGAGGGCAAGUCUGGUGCCAGCAGCCGCGGUAAUUCCAGCUCUGAUAGCGUAUAUUAAAGUUGUUGCAGUUAAAAAGCUCGUAGUUGGAUUUUAGAGUGUAUUGAUAUGGUCUCUUGUGAUAAACUUGUUGUACUGUGUCAAUUACUCUUUCCUACUGGUUACUCGACUCUGUUCUUUAUUGCAUGGAGUAGUGUCGCAAGGCAUCGCUUAGUAUUUUAUUGCUUUUAGAUGUAGUAAUUGGGUAAAACUGGUUGCGAAACCUAAGGGAUCACAGUAAAAUAUUAAGUGGGGUUCCAGUUCAUUUACUUUGAGUAAAUUAGAGUGUUCAAAGCAGCCUGUAUGGGCAUUGAAUAGAUUAGCAUGGGAUAAUAGAAUAGGAUUCUUAUCUAUUAUUGGUUUAUAGAUUUAGAAUAAUGA
rnacentral:rRNA from 1 species